AGAAAUGAGAUUCAAGAAAAGCUUCUAACUUUUGCCUUUAAUGGUGUAACUCCAUUUAUUUCUC
rnacentral:tRNA from 1 species